GACGAACGCUGGCGGCGUGCUUAACACAUGCAAGUCGAACGGAAAGGCCCUGCUUUUGUGGGGUGCUCGAGUGGCUAACGGUUGAGUAACACGUGAGUAACCUGCCCUUGACUUUGGGAUAACUUCAGGAAACUGGUUCUAAUACCGUAUAUGAUCUCCUGCUUCAUUUUGUUGGUUUGAAAUUUUCGGCGGUUGGGGAUGGACUCGCGGCUUAUCAUCUUGUUGGUUGUGUAGUUGCUUACCAAGGCUUUGACGGGUAGCCGGCCUGAGAGGGUGAACGGCCACAGUGGGACUGAGAGACGGCCCAGACUCCAACGGGAGGCAGCAGUGGGGAAUAUUGCACAAUGGGAGGAAGCCUGAUGCAGCAACGCCGCGUGCGGGAUGACGGCCUUCGGGUUGUAAACAGCUUGCGCCUGUGACGAAGCGUGAGUGACGGUAAUGGGUAAAGAAGCACCGGCUAACUACGUG
rnacentral:rRNA from 1 species